GACGAACGCUGGCGGCGUGCUUAACACAUGCAAGUCGAACGAAGUGGCGAACGUGUGAGUAACGCGUAAUCAACCUGCCCUUCAGAGGGGGACAACAGUUGGAAACGACUGCUAAUACCGCAUACUGGCGGAGGGGAUUGCGUCUGAUUAGCUAGUUGGAGGGGUAACGGCCCACCAAGGCGAUGAUCAGUAGCCGGUCUGAGAGGAUGAACGGCCAAAUUGGGACUGAGACAAGGCCCAGACUCCUACGGGAGGCAGCAGUGGGGAAUCUUCCGCAAUGGACGAAAGUCUGAAGGAGCAACGCCGCGUGAGGGAUGAAGGCCUUCGGGUUGUAAAGCUCUGUUAAUCGGGACGCGGUACCGGAAUAGAAAGCCACGGCUAACUACGUGCCAGCCGCCGCGGUAAUAC
rnacentral:rRNA from 1 species